GGUAGCUCGGCAAUAGAGCAUCUGCUUUGAAUGUAGAAGGCUCCAGGUUCAAAUCCUGAGGGAGAGACA